CGCGGUAUACGUAGGGCGCGAGCGUAUCCGGAAUUAUUGGGCGUAAAGAGCUCGUAGGCGGUUUGUCGCGUCUGCCGUGAAAGUCCGGGGCUUAACCCCGGAUCUGCGGUGGGUACGGGCAGACUAGAGUGCAGUAGGGGAGACUGGAAUUCCUGGUGUAGCGGUGAAAUGCGCAGAUAUCAGGAGGAACACCGAUGGCGAAGGCAGGUCUCUGGGCUGUUACUGACGCUGAGGAGCGAAAGCAUGGGGAGCGAACAGGAUUAGAUACCCUGGUAGUCCAUGCCGUAAACGUUGGGCACUAGGUGUGGGGGCCAUUCCACGGUUUCCGCGCCGCAGCUAACGCAUUAAGUGCCCCGCCUGGGGAGUACGGCCGCAAGGCUAAAACUCAAAGGAAUUGACGGGGGCCCGCACAAGCGGCGGAGCAUGCGGAUUAAUUCGAUGCAACGCGAAGAACCUUACCAAGGCUUGACAUGUUCCCGACCGGGCCAGAGAUGGUCUUUCCCCUCUGGGGCGGGUCACAGGUGGUGCAUGGUUGUCGUCAGCUCGUGUCGUGAGAUGUUGGGUAA
rnacentral:rRNA from 1 species